GAGUUUGAUUAUGGCUCAGGAUGAACGCUGGCGGCGUGCCUAACACAUGCAAGUCGAACGGACUUUAAAUGAAUGAGACUUCGGUUGAAGGAUUUUAAAGUUAGUGGCGGACGGGUGAGUAACGCGUGGAGAACCUGCCCUGUACAGGGGGAUAACAACCAGAAAUGGCUGCUAAAACCGCAUAAGCGCACAAUACCGCAUGGUACAGUGUGAAAAACUCCGGUGGUACAGGAUGGCUCCGCGUUGGAUUAGCCAGUUGGCGGGGUAACGGCCCACCAAAGCGACGAUCCAUAGCCGGCCUGAGAGGGUGGACGGCCACAUUGGGACUGAGACACGGCCCAGACUCCUACGGGAGGCAGCAGUGGGGAAUAUUGCACAAUGGGGGGAACCCUGAUGCAGCGACGCCGCGUGAAGGAAGAAGUAUCUCGGUAUGUAAACUUCUAUCAGCAGGGAAGAAAAUGACGGUACCUGACUAAGAAGCCCCGGCUAACUACGUGCCAGCAGCGGC
rnacentral:rRNA from 1 species